UGGGGGAUAUUGCACAAUGGGCGAAAGCCUGAUGCAGCGACGCUGCGUGGGGGAUGAAGGCUUUCGGGUUGUAAACCUCUUUCGCUAUCGAACAAGGCCCGCUUAGGGUGGGUUGAGGGUAGGUGGAGAAGAAGCGCCGGCUAACUACGUGCCAGCAGCCGCGGUAAUACGUAGGGCGCGAGCGUUGUCCGGAAUUAUUGGGCGUACAGGGCUUGUAGGCGGCGUGUUGCGCCUGCUGUGAAAACGCGGGGCUUAACUUCGCGCGUGAAGUGGGUACGGGCAGGCUUGAGUGUGGUAGGGGUGACUGGAAUUCCAGGUGUAGCGGUGGGAUGCGCAGAUAUCUGGAGGAACGCCGAUGGCGAAGGAAGGUCACUGGGCCAUUACUGACGCUGAGGAGCGAAAGCAUGGGUAGCGAACAGG
rnacentral:rRNA from 1 species